rnacentral:misc_RNA from 1 species
CUGGCAUUAUGGCCUUUGAACGACCCAACAAACGAAGCGCACGUCGCUUCGACCGCGACCCCAGGUCAGGCGGGACUACCCGCUGAGUUUAAGCAUAUAAAUAAGCAGAGGAGAAGAAACUUACAAGGAUUCCCCUAGUAACGGCGAGCGAACCGGGAGCAGCCCAGCUUGAGAAUCGGGCGGCUGUGCCGUCCGAAUUGUAGUCUGGAGAGGCGUCCUCAGCGACGGACCGGGCCCAAGUCCCCUGGAAAGGGGCGCCUGGGAGGGUGAGAGCCCCGUCCGGCCCGGACCCUGUCGCCCCACGAGGCGCCGUCAACGAGUCGGGUUGUUUGGGAAUGCAGCCCAAAUCGGGCGGUAGACUCCGUCCAAGGCUAAAUACAGGCGAGGGACCGAUAGCGAACAAGUACCGCGAGGUGAAGAUGAAAAGGACUUUGAAAAGAGAGUCAAAGAGUGCUUGAAAUUGCCGG